rnacentral:rRNA from 1 species
AUGCGGAUUCGAGCUCCUCCUUUGUCGCUGAUUCCCUGCUGGAGGACCCUGCGGAGGCGGGUGCGGUGCGGCCGCGCUCGGUCAGAUUUGCAUUCAAUGCCAUGGUGCUGGAUUCCACCCCACCCCCUCCCAUUCAAGGCGCGCACCGGCCUUGCCUCAAGACUGCUCCCGCAGGCGCCUUCAAGACCCGCCGGCGUGCGGCGUGGACGUCCCGUCGCUCGAGCCCCGAGCCGGCCGUGUCCCCUGGCGCAAGCUCCGAUGAUGGUUGGCAGCUCGUCAAAGCGCCAUUUUGGUGGCGUUCCCUCCCCAGCUACCAGCAUUCAAGACGGAGGGGAGCUGCUGCUUCUUAUUCCCCUCCAACAGGCAGAUCUUUCGUCCCCCACCGCUUCCGUACCUGCCACCGCUGCCUCGACGUUGGCCACUGCAAGGCCGACUGCCGGAACCCAUUCAAGUGUCGGGAGUGUCGGGUGUGUGGUCACCGCGCCCGUGACUGCACUGUGUCGCCCGCCUCCUCGCCCCCGUCCUCGAGGUGUGAUUCGCCAACUCCAGCUGCGACUGCGUUCCAAGCCUCCUCGUCGUGGUGCCUGCUCCGGUCGUCGCCAACAUCAGCUGCGCCCCACGCCUCCCCGACAGAGUGCCUGGAGCCCCUUGCUUCUGCGAUGCCGCGCGUUGGAGACCCUUCGCUACGCCCCGAGGAGGCCCAUGUGGUCAUCUCCUCCACGCCGGCAAUGGAGGCCAGCGCCGUCUCCCUCUCCAACCUGGGCGCGCUGGUCUGGAUCGGUGGGAACCGCCCUCGCGUCAACCCUGAAGAAAUCAGGAACGCCCUCGCCAACAAGUUCGUCAUCGACCGCAAGUACAUCAAGGUGGUGCCGCACUACCCGGAGGACUUCUUCGCCCUCUUCACGCACCCGCAUCACUGCGACAUCGCCACCGCCUCGCCUGGUCGCUUCAGCCAUGGCGGCCUGGACAUCCACGUCGCCAAAUGGAGGCCGGAGGCCAACACUGACCUUGUGGAGGCCUACUACCACGUCCAUCUUUGCAUCGAGAACCUGUCGCUCCACGCUUGGUGCGACGAGGUGGCGACCCAGGUGCUCGGCCCCGACACUUUUCUGCACUACUUCGACGUCGCCACCGUCCAGCGAGAGGACUCAUCCACCCUCAGUCUCUGGGCGUGGUCCGCCAACCCCUCCGCCAUCCCAAAGGUGCUGCGUCUCACGAUCACCGACAACCAGCCUGCCGGCUACAGCAAUGGGCCGAGUGCUACUGUUGGUCAACGUGGCCUCAAGCGCCGCCUCCUGGUGCACCUCGACCUGGUGGAAGACUUCACGCCCGACAUCAACGGCAACAUCCCUCGACGCCCUCGCUCCUCGCACCUGUUCUCCAUCACCCUGGGGGUCAUUGAUGGCGAGUCCAGAACACGAGACAGGUCGGAGGUGGCGGUGCGCCGCCGUGAUGAGGAUCAAGACAAAGACCGCCAUGACGAUGACCGCGACCGCGGCCGUCGAGGCCGUGAUGAGCGCCCCUCUUCCUGGAGGGACCGUUUCUUCAGGAGCAGGUCGCGAGCUCCGGAACGCCGUGAUGAUGACGGCCGGCGCGACGGCCGGCGAGAGGACAAAGAUGAUUGACGCGAUGAUCGUGGUCGUGAUGGGCGUCGCCGCCGUCCUGAGGCCCGGGACACGUGACGUAUCAACUUCAAGCUGGUGCAGCGGUUGUCGGACGGUGCGGUCAUCCCGGCCUCUGGUAGGCGCGGCCGCCGUCGACCUGAUGACUGCCAGACACGACCUAGGCGUUCUGGAGGUGAUGCAAGCCCGGUCUCCGAAGACACCCGUGGACGCUCGCCUCCAUCCUCGCCGCGGACGACCUCCUGUGAUGUGGUGCAACUCAGCGACCCCUCUGGUGAAGCCCCUUGGCGGCGUUGCCUCGCCCCCUGUUUUGGGUCCAGUCCGCGCCCUGUGGCUGUGUGCCCGGUCACCCCCUGCAAGCCGCGGCAGCACCCCACACCACCAACCUGGACGUGAUCGAGAUCAUCCCGCCCCCCUCUCCUGCUGGGUGGGAUGA